rnacentral:rRNA from 2 species
GGAGGAAAAGAACUAACAAGGAUUCCCCUAGUAACUGCGAGUGAAGCGGGAAAAGCUCAAAUUUARAAUCUGGCGGYCUCUGGYYGUCCGAGUUGUAAUCUAGAGAAGUGAUGCCCGCGCUGGACCGUGUACAAGUCUCCUGGRAUGGAGCGUCAUAGAGGGUGAGAAUCCCGUCUCUGACACGGACUACCAGGGCUUUGUGGUACGCUCUCAAAGAGUCGAGUUGUUUGGGAAUGCAGCUCAAAAUGGGUGGUAAAUUCCAUCUAAAGCUAAAUAUUGGCGAGAGACCGAUAGCGAACAAGUACCGUGAGGGAAAGAUGAAAAGAACUUUGGAAAGAGAGUUAAACAGUACGUGAAAUUGCUGAAAGGGAAACGCUUGAAGUCAGUCGCGUUGGCCGGGRAUCAGCCUCGCUSUUUUGCGUGGUGUACUUUCUGGUUGACGGGUCAGCAUCAAUUUUGACCGCUGGAAAAAGGCUUGAGGAAUGUGGCAGCUCCGGCUGUGUUAUAGCUUCAUGUCACAUACAGCGGUUGGGAUUGAGGAACUCAGCACGCCGCAAGGCCGGGUUUCGACCACGUUCGUGCUUAGGAUGCUGGCAUAAUGGCUUUA